GAUGAACGCUGGCGGCGUGCCUAAUACAUGCAAGUGGAGCGAACAGAUGAGGAGCUUGCUCCUCUGACGUUAGCGGCGGACGGGUGAGUAACACGUGGAUAACCUACCUAUAAGACUGGGAUAACUUCGGGAAACCGGAGCUAAUACCGGAUAAUAUAUUGAACCGCAUGGUUCAAUAGUGAAAGACGGUUUUGCUGUCACUUAUAGAUGGAUCCGCGCCGCAUUAGCUAGUUGGUAAGGUAACGGCUUACCAAGGCAACGAUGCGUAGCCGACCUGAGAGGGUGAUCGGCCACACUGGAACUGAGACACGGUCCAGACUCCUACGGGAGGCAGCAGUAGGGAAUCUUCCGCAAUGGGCGAAAGCUUGACGGAGCAACGCCGCGUGAGUGAUGAAGGUCUUCGGAUCGUAAAACUCUGUUAUUAGGGAAGAACAAAUGUGUAAGUAACUAUGCACGUCUUGACGGUACCUAAUCAGAAAGCCACGGCUAACUACGUG
rnacentral:rRNA from 1 species